UCCCGGGUAGCUCAGAGGUAGAGCGCGUCACUAGUAGUUUCGCAUUCCUCCCCGCGCGAUCGCGGGAUUCAUGACGAGGUCCAUGGUUCAAUUCCGUGUCUGGGAA
rfam:Ceraceosorus bombacis genome assembly, contig: Scaffold_279